AAAAAAAAAAAAGAAAAAAGAAAAAAAAACUGCUAGUACCAUUCUAUUACUUUCUUUUCCUCUUUCUCAUUGUAAAAUUGAGUGCUCUAUUGUCAAGGUCGCUGGUCCACCGGAAAACAUUGGCCACACAUAGUCAUGCCGUUCACAUUGCAAGAUGUGCAAGUUCUAAACCCGAGCUUCUCCGAGUAAAUCUCAUGGCUGCCAUUGCACUGUUCACAGAGAACAAAUCUCAGCCCUCCGCAAAGAUUACAACCACUACUGUUUUCUACAAACGGUAACCCACCA
rnacentral:misc_RNA from 1 species